AAACCCCGGGUUAAAAUCUAAUU
rnacentral:sRNA from 1 species